rnacentral:rRNA from 1 species
CCUACGGGUGGCAGCAGUGAGGAAUAUUGGUCAAUGGGCGUAAGCCUGAACCAGCCAAGUCGCGUGAGGGAUGAAGGUUCUAUGGAUCGUAAACCUCUUUUAUAAGGGAAUAAAGUGCGGGACGUGUCCCGUUUUGUAUGUACCUUAUGAAUAAGGAUCGGCUAACUCCGUGCCAGCAGCCGCGGUAAUACGGAGGAUCCGAGCGUUAUCCGGAUUUAUUGGGUUUAAAGGGUGCGUAGGCGGCCUUUUAAGUCAGCGGUGAAAGUCUGUGGCUCAACCAUAGAAUUGCCGUUGAAACUGGGAGGCUUGAGUAUGUUUGAGGCAGGCGGAAUGCGUGGUGUAGCGGUGAAAUGCUUAGAUAUCAGGAGGAACAUCGGUGGCGAAAGCGCUUUACUGGACCAUUAUUGACGCUGAGGAACGAAAGCCAGGGGAGCAAAUGGGAUUAGAUACCCCAGUAGUC